UAGGGUGUGGCUCAGUAGUAGAGCGCUUGCCUAGCAUGCAGGAGGCCUGGGCUCCAUCCCCAGCACUGCAA
rnacentral:tRNA from 1 species